rnacentral:piRNA from 1 species
UUAAACUUGAAUUGCUCAACU